GGUCGAGUGGUGUAGUGGUUUAUCACGUCUGCCUCACACGCAGAAGGUCCCGAGUUCAAUCCUCGGUUCGACCU